ACUACCCGCUGAACUUAAGCAUAUCAAUAAGCGGAGGAAAAGAAACCAACAGGGAUUGCCUCAGUAAUGGCGAGUGAAGCGGCAAAAGCUCAAAUUUGAAAUCCCCCGGGAAUUGUAAUUUGAAGAGAUUUGGGUCCGGCCGGCAGGGGUUAAGUCCACUGGAAAGUGGCGCCACAGAGGGUGACAGCCCCGUGAACCCCCUCAACGCCUUCAUCCCAGAUCUCCAAGAGUCGAGUUGUUUGGGAAUGCAGCUCUAAGUGGGUGGUAAAUUCCAUCUAAAGCUAAAUACCGGCGAGAGACCGAUAGCGAACAAGUACAGUGAUGGAAAGAUGAAAAGCACUUUGAAAAGAGAGUGAAAAAGUACGUGAAAUUGUUGAAAGGGAAGGGCUUGCAAGCAGACACUUAACUGGGCCAGCAUCGGGGCGGCGGGGAGCAAAACCACCGGGGAAUGUACCUUUCGAGGAUUAUAACCCCGGCCCUUACUCCCAUACUGCCCCGAGGCCUGCAAUCUAAGGAU
rnacentral:rRNA from 1 species